rnacentral:rRNA from 1 species
GAGGACCGGGACGGACGAACCACUGGUGUGCCAGUUGUUCCGCCAGGAGCAUGGCUGGUUGGCUACGUUCGGUAAGGAUAACCGCUGAAAGCAUCUAAGCGGGAAGCCUGCUUCAAGAUAAGUUCUCCAUCAACAUACGUUGUGUAGGCCCCCUAUAGAUGAUGGGGUUGAUAGGCCAGACGUGGACACAGAGUAAUCUGUGGAGCUGACUGGUACUAAUGCGCCAAAACCAACCUAAAACAAC